rnacentral:lncRNA from 1 species
AGAUACCACGAUGAUUUGGCAAGAAGAUGUGGUCCCAAAAAGUGUGCCUGCAUUUGCUGCUGUGGAAACAUGGCGUGGCUUCCCUUACUUUGCAAUGUAGAGAGCUUUUGGCUGCACAUGAAGACAGAAGUUUUGGCUUCUCUGAACUUAAGAAUAUUAAGGUCCUGCAAGUAGAACAUGCCAAAGACUUCCUCACUGCUGAAAUCCAUUGCCUGAAGAUAGGAAUUGCUCAGCAGGUCCCCCCCCGUGCUGCGGAUGGGCACGAGCAGCACAGAGCCCUGUGCUCGUUCAUUUUCCUUGUGCUGCAAGGAGGCCCGAAGUGCUCUGCAAAGAGGAAUCCCGCUGCACUCGCUCUGCUCAGAGAGAAGCAAAAUGCCAGGGUCACCUUUGCUGCUGGAUCUGUGCUUAUGUCAAGAGAUCAGCCUUCUGAGAAAAGAUAAAGGAAUGCAUGUCAGCUGAUGUGGUUUCCCGGAAGUGAUUCUUUUCCUCCUGUUCUUCCAGCCCUGUGUACGGGGGAGGCUGUCCCGUUCCCCACGUUAUUGGCAGCAUAGGUGCACCUUAGAACAAAGUAGCAGGGACUAAGCAGUGAGUGUGGUGCGUCUGGUCUGCAUCUUCUCUUGUCAUCUCAGGUUUGUGCAAGCAUUUGCUAUAUGUAGAUCCAUCAGCCUAGACUGUGCUUAUCCCAGCAUUACCAGCAGUAGGGAAAAGUGUAUUUCCUCUCUUGAAGGAGAGGUGGAAUAGCAUUCUUGAAGUUCAGGUCUGUGCUUUCCUAGUUACAGAAGUGGAAAUUGGGUCUUCCUGGAGGGAAGUUAUGAUUGGAGGUCUGUGACUUGGAUUCUGAAGCAAUGGGUGAGUUCAGUCCUUUUUUUAUGUUAUAGAUGAAAGUUUUUAGGAUUUCAUCAAAGGUGCUUAGCAUGCUGGC